UCUCCGGCCCUUUUCAGGGCCAACCACAUAUUCCAGAAAGAACUAU
rfam:Branchiostoma floridae genomic scaffold BRAFLscaffold_174, whole genome shotgun sequence.